AUGGCUUCUUCUGGUUCCAUGACGAGGCCCCCGUGUGCUAACCACGAGGACAUGUCGGACAAGUGGACAGACACCGAGUUGGAUAAGGUGAAGGACAAAGAUAUGAGAACUCCAUCAUGUUGGUGUGGAGAUGUUUGCAAAGUUAAGGUAUCCACAGACCGCAAGAAAUCAUGCACGGAAGGAAGAAUAUUUUUUUGUCCCAACUAUGCCUAUGAUCGUCCUCGUCCAGCUCACGCCUAUGAUGUACCGCUGGUAAGUUGGUGA
rnacentral:rRNA from 1 species